UGGAGGAUUCGACUAGCGGCCUAUGUCACACGCCUGGAACGCGUGCGGGAGUCACAUCCCUCGUGGGUUCAAAUCCCACAUCCUCCGCAGA
rnacentral:tRNA from 1 species